UUGUUGCUAAGAUAGAGAGACGGAUGGCACUGCCUAUGACAAGGACAAAAGGGAUCAUGUGAUCAUUCUAACACGUCACAGCACUGUUCUCUAUUCCAGAGCAGCCUGCUGUUC